rnacentral:rRNA from 1 species
AAAGGAAUUGACGGGGGCCCGCACAAGCGGCGGAGCAUGUGGAUUAAUUCGAUGCAACGCGAAGAACCUUACCUGGGUUUGACAUGCACAGGACGCCGGCAGAGAUGUCGGUUCCCUUGUGGCCUGUGUGCAGGUGGUGCAUGGCUGUCGUCAGCUCGUGUCGUGAGAUGUUGGGUUAAGUCCCGCAACGAGCGCAACCCUUGUUCCAUGUUGCCAGCGCGUCAUGGCGGGGACUCAUGGGAGACUGCCGGGGUCAACUCGGAGGAAGGUGGGGAUGACGUCAAGUCAUCAUGCCCCUUAUGUCCAGGGCUUCACACAUGCUACAAUGGCCGGUACAAAGGGCUGCGAUGCCGUGAGGUUAAGCGAAUCCUAGAAAAGCCGGUCUCAGUUCGGAUCGGGGUCUGCAACUCGACCCCGUGAAGUCGGAGUCGCUAGUAAUCGCAGAUCAGCAACGCUGCGGUGAAUACGUUCCCGGGCCUUGCACACACCGCCCGU